GACGAACGCUGGCGGCGUGCCUAAUACAUGCAAGUAGAACGCACAGUUUAUACCGUAGCUUGCUACACCAUACACUGUGAGUUGCGAACGGGUGAGUAACGCGUAGGUAACCUGCCUGGUAGCGGGGGAUAACUAUUGGAAACGAUAGCUAAUACCGCAUAAUAUUAAUUAUUGCAUGAUAAUUGAUUGAAAGAUGCAAUUGCAUCACUACCAGAUGGACCUGCGUUGUAUUAGCUAGUAGGUGAGGUAACGGCUCACCUAGGCGACGAUACAUAGCCGACCUGGGAGGGUGAUCGGCCACACUGGGACUGAGACACGGCCCAGACUCCUACGGGAGGCAGCAGUAGGGAAUCUUCGGCAAUGGACGAAAGUCUGACCGAGCAACGCCGCGUGAGUGAAGAAGGGUUUCGGAUCGUAAAGCUCUGUUGUAAGAGAAGAACGGGUGUGAGAGUGGAAAGUUCACACUGUGACGGUAUCUUACCAGAAAGGGACGGCUAACUACGUG
rnacentral:rRNA from 1 species